AUUGAACGCUGGCGGCAGGCCUAACACAUGCAAGUCGAACGGUAACAGGAAGAAGCUUGCUUCUUUGCUGACGAGUGGCGGACGGGUGAGUAAUGUCUGGGAAACUGCCUGAUGGAGGGGGAUAACUACUGGAAACGGUAGCUAAUACCGCAUAACGUCGCAAGACCAAAGAGGGGGACCUUCGGGCCUCUUGCCAUCGGAUGUGCCCAGAUGGGAUUAGCUAGUAGGUGGGGUAACGGCUCACCUAGGCGACGAUCCCUAGCUGGUCUGAGAGGAUGACCAGCCACACUGGAACUGAGACACGGUCCAGACUCCUACGGGAGGCAGCAGUGGGGAAUAUUGCACAAUGGGCGCAAGCCUGAUGCAGCCAUGCCGCGUGUAUGAAGAAGGCCUUCGGGUUGUAAAGUACUUUCAGCGGGGAGGAAGGGAGUAAAGUUAAUACCUUGGCUCAUUGACGUUACCCACAGAAGAAGCACCGGCUAACUCCGUG
rnacentral:rRNA from 1 species